rnacentral:lncRNA from 1 species
GCUGGUUCUUCCAGGAGCGCGCAUGAGCGGACGCUGCCUACUGGUGGCCGGGCGGGAUGUAACCGGCUGCUGAGCUGGCAGUUCUGUGUCGCUAGGCUUCUGCCCGGCCGCCGCCGCACAUAAGCCACGAGGAGGAGCUUUACGACUUCCCGGUCUUCGGCGCCGGGCGCAGCAAGGGCCAGACUCUGCGCUAGCAGGCGCUGCGCGCCAACCGGCCGGCACCUGUCGCAGAAGGUGCAACCGAUCGCACUGUCGCGCAGAAGCUCCUCAAUGGCCAGCGCCAGCUGCAGCCCCGGCCGCCCACUCGCCUCAUCUGAGCCUGGGCAAAUCUGGAUUGGGAAAGUUGACAUUAAUCAACUCAUUAUUCCUCACAGAUUUGUAUUCUCCAGAGUAUCCAGGUCCUUCUCAGAGAAUUAAAAAGCCUGUACAGCGCUGCUCUAAGCUGUUGAUGAAAAAUAUUGUUGGUGAGCUCUGCUUAGGUAAUAUAUAGGACAUGAGCAGAGAGGAGGCACGUGAACAGUUCUGGCCUGGAGUAGGCUUCAUUGAGGCUGUGAUGCUUUUAGCUGGAUUUGAAGAAGUGGUAGUGAUCAUCCCAGUGCACAGGAUAGGUGGACAGUCUAUGUAUUCUGAGCAGUAACUCAUAUAUCUCAUACUGCAAGACCCCAAAGGAGUAAUUUUGUGAACUCUGUUCACGGAAAGGGCCUGGGAGCUGCAACACCUCAACAGCAACAAGCACACCUGCUACCUAGAACUUGGUUUCUAAAAACCAUCCUCCUCUAAAAGGAAACAGAGCUCUUUGAAGAAACGGUGAGACAGUCAACAAACCUCUAACCACCGACCUUUUCUCCUCUGCCCUCCACUCACACUCUGCUCCAUCACCCUCAGCCACACAGCUGACGCUGUAGAGAUUCACUGACAUCCAGUCUGAUGGACACUGUUUCUCCAGCCGAAACUGCUCAUGAGAACAUGUGCAGUGAAGUGCUCCAGAGGCCCCAGCAUGCUACAUUACAGAAGACUGAACUCAGGAGAGAUGAGGAAUAAUCCCCUCCAUCACACCAGACACCAGGAGGGUGUGCCAAGGUAUUCUAAUAAUACUGCGUGACAUUACGGACAACUUAGCCUAAAUUAUGGAAAAUCAAAUUAUUUAGUAGAACUGCAAGACAAUCCUCUCAGUUGUUGUAAGGUAACUUUGCUGAACUUGUGAAGAAUGGUGUGCAAGGUCCAGAGCGACUGCAGGAGAGGGAAGGUGGGAUUCCCACAGAGCAGGAGCACAGAUAAGCCAAGCAAGGCCCUGCUUGGAAGGCAGCAAUCAACAGAGAUGCACAGACCUGUGAGGGUGCCGGGACAGCCAUGCAACAAUGCAGCCCUUUUGCUUCCUGAGCUCACCAGUUCCCUCGCUCCACCUCUGAGAGGUGGUUUGGAGAAACACAGCCCUUCUCAAGAGGGCUGCAAGCUACUUAAGUCCUGAAAAUUUCCACAAGGCUGAGUCAAAUCUGCGUUUCAUCAUCUAUAAGAAAGGUACCUAUCGAGAACACCCUGCUGGCCAGUGUGUAAAUAUCUAAAGGAGGACUCAGAAAACACCGGGGAAGUCCAGCCUGCACGUGGUGGCUGGGCUUCAGUGAAGCAUGCAGCACAACAGGAGUUAGCAGCCAUGCACUGCCCAGGCUGGAAGUAUGCUCAACCACAAGGGUCAGGGCUGGGAGAGGCGCUUCGGUAGCAAGAAGGUGCCUCUGAAAACCAGCAUUGGGAUGGAGAGGGCUGAAGGCAAGUGCUGGAUGUGACCACGGGCAGCUUUCAGGCUGGGAGCAC